UAUGCAGGGAUUCUGUCUUAUGUACAUAUCAAGUCGAAAUCACAAGCAGCCUUUUGUAUUAUCUCGCAAGCAAAAGGGAUUUUGCAAAUAGGUCCAGGGAGUCGAUUCCGGAACGUGUCUGAUUGUCAUUAUUAUUUAUAUUAUCAUUAUUAUUCAUGACAAUAGAAGAAGCAAAUGUGAUGAACUGCCAAAUGUGUUAGUAAGAAAAACUGUUUUGUAAUAAGAUGAUGAUGAUCUCAUAUGUGAGGGGGCGACGUGUUACAAUCCGGGCCCCGUUACACAAAUCGAUCUUAACGCUACAACUGUCGUAAUUCUAGGUUAAAGUAUGGGCUUUGUGAAAUGGGCCCCUCUCCUUUCCACAGGUGUAGCAUUAUCAUUGAAGAAUAAUUAGGUUACCAUAUGAAUAUAGACCCGAGUGUUUAGUGGAUAAAUAAGCUACAGGGUUUCUGAUGAUUGAGGUGGUGACAUUUUUACCUUAACGAAAUAUGACAGGAUGUGCAUGAAGCUGAAAAGUUUCUUAUGGUGGAACUGUUAGUUCUUAGUGGUCAUCACGUUUCUGUUAUGAUGAUGUUUGCUUCUGGAUUUACAAUGCUUAUUGUUUUCCUUAAGGUGCAUUUUCAUGGUGUGAGUCUUGCAGUAACAAUUUGUAGUACACAAACCGUAACAAUAUUAAUUCGCAUACAACUGAGUGCAGCUGAGUUGUAAGACGUAUGACUUGUCCUAAUUCCUACUACAAGUCUCAAGCUCUCAACCACUCAAAAUCGCUAAACUCUGUGUCCACCUCAGAGUGAUGUCCCUUUGUUUGUCUUGACAUCAUGUCGGAGACACAACUGAAGAAAUUUGGUCUUACAGAGAAAAACUGAACAAUCCACUUGUGAACUCACACUGAUUUGGGCAUUCUUCUGUUUUAUUGACUAAUACACAUUCACAUUAAUGUUAGUAUCUGUUCUUCUCUUGAUGAAUCCAUUUUGUCGAGUCAUGUGCGAGAAUCUCUUGAGAUACGAGUUGUUGUGACUUAAAAACUACACAAAAGGCAAAGUUGUUAUGAUCUUUAUUGUUACUACAAGUCAUAUGCAACAUGUUGUUACUACAAGUUGUGGGGCGGUGGGGUAGCCCAGUGGUUAAAGUGUUUGCUUGCACGCCGAAAUCCCGGGUUCUAUUUCCUACAUGGGUACAAUGUGUGAAGCUCAUUUCUGGUGUCCCCCGCCAUGAUAUUGCUGGAAUAUUGCUAAAAGCGGCGUAAAACUAAACUCACUUAUUACUGCAAGUUGCACUAUGAGAACUCACUUUUAAGGAAACAAGCUGUAAGUCUCACAUUGGAGUGUUUUACUGAUCCUGAGAAGCAUCCUGACAUUAACCAUUGUAGAGUGAACAAUGUGCCAACACACUAUGUCUCCUGAACUUGUACCUGUGAGACAGCUAUUGGCCUGAAUAUGAUGUUACAAGUUGUAUAUGUUUACCCCAUCUAUAUUCAUGAUGACACAGUAUUGUUUCAGGGUGUUUUGCAUGACAUUUUCCUGAAGGACUGAGAAUCUGUAUGUUUAUUCACAGAGCAUGUUGUAACAGAAGUAGGGGAUUACGCCACAACACGGCGAUUGGUGUUUGUCGGAACAGUCGUCUUUACGUUUUCACCUUUCAAUAUGGUUUUGUCAUGAUUUACUACAAGAACAAAUAACGUUGUUAGCUAUUUCAUUGACAGAGUUUCAUUGCAUAGGGUGACAGAAACCUGCAAUUGUGGGUUCGAAUCCCACAUUCCACCUGAUAAUCUUUCACGGUUUGUUGACACCAAACCCAUGAUCAUGGAUUUCGUUUUAGCGUACAAGUUACACACCUGCAUCACUUUGCUUUUUCCACACAAACUAUGUAGCGUUCCAACACGCUAAUAUAUGCUAAAACUCAAGUAUAAUACUGUUCAACGUGAAGUAAAUCCUACUCACUCACUGACCUACUGAAUAACCAGGUUAGUGUAAACAUCCCCAGAAAGAAUAAUAGCAAAAAAAUGUGGAAAAGGCAUGUUUUGGGUUGUUGUUUUUUUGUUCGUAAGUGAAGGUUGUUAUCAAAAUUGUAUUUAUUUUUCUCCUUGCAUGAGGGAUUGUGUGAUAUGAUGGACAAAUUUCACUUUUGUAAUACAGUUUGAAUCCAGUCCAUUUACUUACCGUAAUGCAGAGGUUGUGAUUGAUCUGUUCAUUUGAUCUAAAACAUGAGAGAAUUAAUUUCUGCAAAAUCAUAAGCCAGAUUUUACGAGGAUGAAAUGAUCCGAUUGACUUGAGGAGAGUUGUAUUACCAGUAGUUAUGCUGUAUGAUGGUUGUAUCCCAUAGAAGGUGCUAAUGUUGUGUAAAUAAUGUUGUUUGAUAGAGAGAGUUGUCAAAUUAACUCUAUACCUGCAACAAAAUAUGUCAGCUUUUUCAUUGAUAUAUAACCUGUAUAUGACAUACGACUUCUCAUCAUUUACAUAAGUUAAAUACAAAAAGAGGAUCUUCUUUCAAAUGGUUCUAUUCAAGUUAUCAUGUCUGACCUUGACCUUAAUUGUCUGACCUUAACCCUAAUUUUCUGACCUUGACCUUUAUAUUCUCGCCAUCAUCGGUUUAGUUUGACUUAUGAUUUUCAUCCAAGUACUUUAAAAAGUCAGAUUGGUGGUUCAGGAAGGAUUAUAUUUUCAAUGUUUUUGAAGAAAAACUGUUCAAGGUAUCGGCCCCAGUGUGAUUGGAAUAUCCAUGUGGCUAUGUGGCCAUCUACCUAAUGUGUGGACAUCUGCUCUUACUCUCUGUCAGCCUUAACAAAUCUGUCAUUUCUAUCAUUAAAAUAAUCUAUCAUUUUGUAUUUUUAUAUGAAUAUUUUACUUUUUAUGUAACUUCAUCAAAGAGUUUUAUUGAAUUAAAAAAAUGGUUGCCAUGGUCACAGUACAUUUUGAUACAUAUAUGUAUUUAUUAAUGUUUCUUCAGAUAAUGAGAACAAUAAUUCAUCUGCAGUAUAUAUGUUUCAUUAGGUUUCAAAAUAUUAAAAUGCUGAAGCCACAAGUUCAAGGAUUUGUAUUUUCCUACAAAAUUGCAUUCCUACAUUUUUAGGUGAUUUUUGUAAUGUUCAUUAUAUAUCUGACACAAAUAGCAUAUAAGGAAUAUUAUUUUAAAAAAUGCAAUUAAAUGCAAUGGAAACAACAUUCUGGGAGACAAGUUUUGUGAUAAGAGGGUUUUUUUCUAUUUAAAUAACAUAGCCCAUCUCCUUCCAAUGUCUUUACCUUGAAGGAACUUAAUCAGUUACAUAUACAUACAUAUAUAUGCUCUUAUUCUAACCUAUACAUAAAUAUUUUGCUGUGUUCGUGUUUUUUUUCAAAAGAAAUUCAAAGUUUACAAUGUAGCCAAAUUGGAUGUACACAGUUUGAAUUUCUCUAAAUUGUCUCUCAAUUGUAACGAAUUGCAGAUCAUUGUGUAACUAAAAUCAACAGUAUUUUUCUACAAGGGAACAUGUGUAGGGUGAAUGAAUUAUUAAUUAGAGUGGUAGCUGGAUCAGUUUGAUGUUCAGCUUCUGAUACUGCUGGCCUUAGAUUGUUGAAUUCUUUGAUUAUCAAUGUUGAAGCCGGUAUGCUAAUGACAUAGGUUGAAUUCUUUGAUUAUCAAUGUUGAAGCUGGUAUGCUAAUGACAUAGGUUGAAUUCUUUGAUUAUCCCAAUUGAAGCUGGUACGG